rnacentral:rRNA from 1 species
UACGGAGGGGGCUAGCGUUGUUCGGAAUUACUGGGCGUAAAGCGCACGUAGGCGGCUUGGUAAGUUAGAGGUGAAAGCCUGGAGCUCAACUCCAGAAUUGCCUUUAAGACUGCCGAGCUAGCAGGUGAGAGAGGUGAGUGGAAUUCCGAGUGUAGAGGUGAAAUUCGUAGAUAUUCGGAAGAACACCAGUGGCGAAGGCGGCUCACUGGCUCAGACUGGACGCUGAGGUGCGAAAGCGUGGGGAGCAAACAGG